UUGUUGAUGGCUCAGUCAGUAGAGCGUGCGACUCUUAAUCCCAGGGUUGUGGAUUCGAGUCCCAUACAAGAAA